CAGAUUCUACUUUUCUACAAGAAAACAAAAAAACACCACUGCUUCCUGAGGACUCCCCAGAUAAAAAAGAUGCUGUGUGAGAAUCCACUUGUGACUCAGGGGAUUGAGACAAUAACUUACCUCUUUUCCAGUUGGCCAGAGAGAUCAAAACAACCAAACACAAUUUUUGGAUGGCAAAAUCCUUAUUUCCUAGGAGGAAAUUUGGACACAGAGAGAUACAUGUGACAAAACACAGGAAGAAAAUGGUCAUCGAGAAAGCCAAGAAGUAUGACCCAUCUUUCCUUCAUAGUUCCUCAGAUGGAACCAGUCCUGCAAAUAUCUUGAUUUCGGAUUUCUAGCUUCCAGAAUUAGACAGAGCAUGCAAGUGAGGAUGAAGGGCAGAGGGAGAGGACAGAAUGUCAUGCAAGCUCUACACUCAGUCCGGAGAUCAAAGCAGGUCUCCGUCUCACAAUCCUGGGAUCGUGACCUGAGCCAAAAU